rnacentral:lncRNA from 1 species
GAGAGUUGCCUCGGCCUUUGGCCUUGUCAGGUUACACUGAGAAGACAGCUAUCUAUGAAUCAGGAAGCAGAGCUUCACCAGAGCACGAAGAAGAGAAAACAGAAAACAUCCAUUGAAUCCUCUGCCUCUGGUAAUGUAUGGCUCCCAGUAUGCCUCCUUCAAGAGCAUGACUGACCCAAUUACUAGUAUGAGCAAAAGAAAGUUUCAGAAAGGUGAUGAAAUUUAAGCUGGGCUUUAAAGGCUACAUCAAAUUUGACAAAUGGAAUUGUGAGGAAAGCACAUUAGAAGUAAAGAGUGAACCCACAAAAACAAGAGAACAUCAUGUUUCUAGAGGCUGCCUGCAUUCCUUGGCUAAUGACUUUGCAUCACUCUGACGUCUUGCUCCCAUGGUCGUAUCACCUACUACUGGCCCUGAUCUCACUACUUGUUAUAUGGAACAAAGGGAUAAGGAAGUGACUUGCCUAAGUCACUGAGGAACCUAAUAUUGAGAUUAGCACUCAAUGAUUCCUGGCUCUCAGAAUGUGUGCUGCUACCACCAGGCCACACUCUUCCCUCCAGAGAGAAGAUGUGUCAGCACGGAAUUGUGCUGAAGCAAAGAUGUGAAAUAGAAUGAUUACAUAUCUACCUAGUGGGAAGAUCUGGGGAAGAAUCUAUCAGUGCUGGCAGAGAAGCAAACCAUACGACAUCACUCAUCCCCAGAAAGUGAAGUUAAGGGAAAUAAAAAACAAUCUACACCAUUUAGAAAACACAGCCACCCCAUACCCUUGGAAAAAAUACACUAAAAUAUCUUCAUCUGAUUUGACCUCUAAUAACAUGAAUAAUUGUCUUAUAACUCACUUUCUUACCUCUUGAUUAUUCUACAGAUCCGGCACAUAUGAGCAAAAUCUGAUGAAAUUCACUCAUUUAAUUUGAAGAUUUUAAUUAUGUA